rnacentral:rRNA from 1 species
GACGAACGCUGGCGGCGUGCUUAACACAUGCAAGUCGAACGGAAAGGCCCUUCGGGGUACUCGAGUGGCGAACGGGUGAGUAACACGUGGGUGAUCUGCCCUGCACUUUGGGAUAAGCCUGGGAAACUGGGUCUAAUACCGAAUAGGACCGCGCGCUUCGUGGUGUGUGGUGGAAAGCUUUUGCGGUGUGGGAUGGGCCCGCGGCCUAUCAGCUUGUUGGUGGGGUAAUGGCCUACCAAGGCGACGACGGGUAGCCGGCCUGAGAGGGUGACCGGCCACACUGGGACUGAGAUACGGCCCAGACUCCUACGGGAGGCAGCAGUGGGGAAUAUUGCACAAUGGGCGCAAGCCUGAUGCAGCGACGCCGCGUGAGGGAUGACGGCCUUCGGGUUGUAAACCUCUUUCACCAGGGACGAAGCGCAAGUGACGGUACCUGGAGAAGAAGCACCGGCCAACUACGUG